AUGCAGACGGCAGUGUUUCUCCUCACUGUUCUGAGUCUGGUCUCUGUCAGUGUAAAGACGGAGGUGCAGGGAGGCGCUGUGACUCCUGUUUACCUGGAUACACCUGGAGAGGAGGCAAGGCCAGCUGCACAGUGAACGUUUGUGACGGGGAGCGUUUGAUUUGUCAGAACGGAGGAACUUGCGUUGACUUCCAGCGCUGCCUCUGUCCAGAUAACUUCACAGGUACAUUAUGCGAGAAAAGUGUCUGUCUGAAGAAGAGUGGUUGCCCCGACAACGCUGAAGGCUCCUCAUCGUCUCUGACCUCACACCUUUACCUGCUGACCCUUAGUCUGAUCACCUCCACCUCCCGCUGAGCCCGCCCACUGAGCUGAGGCCACGCCUGCUGAUGACAUCACAGAGUGAUAAAAAUUUAACACGAUAUAAAACCAAGAAGAACCAGUUUACAUUUUACUGACUGUUGUUUAUUGUUGUUUUUUUUUUACUGAAAUCCACCUGUCACCUGUUGGAACAGGAUAUGACAUCACAUCCUGUUCCUGUGUGUAACUGUUUCACAAGCAAACUGAGGACACUGUUUUUAAAGUGUGUGGUCUGUAAAGUUUCUGCGUCUGUACCGCUGAAGAAAAGAUCCUCAAAGCAACGACUUUCAUUGUGAAAUUCUCUCUUUGCCUUUCCUGCUGCUUGAACGUGUGGACUCAGGUGUCUGUGACAUGUUAAACUACCUGAGGACUCAGAUUCAAACUCAGACAACUUUAUUUAACGAACCAUUAGCAGCUAACCAGACGAGCAGCAGUUAAUGAAAUAAAACAUCCUGUUAGAGCUGCUGGAAAUAAAGAACUAUAUAAACAUGAACACAGAGGAUGUAGCUGUCAUUUAAAAAAUAAUGUAGUUAUUAUUGCAUUAUAAUAAAGUUUACUUAUAGAGCACUGAUCACAUAUUACAAGAGUGUCAGAAGGAAAAAAUAAAACAAACUAUUUAAGAUUUAAAACAGACAUACAGUUCUCAAAUCCCUCCUCUCUCUCUCUCUCUCUCUCUCUCUCUCUCUCUCUCUC